rnacentral:rRNA from 1 species
GCAAUCAAUCUAGCACUAAUGCCCCGGAUCCCAUCAGAACUCCGUAGUUAAGCGCGCUUGGGCGAGAGUAGUUUUAGGAUGGGUGAUCUUCUGGGAAGUCCUCGUGUUGCAAUGU